UUCGCCCUUAGAGUUUGAUCCUGGCUCAGGACGAACGCUGGCGGCGCGCCUAACACAUGCAAGUCGAACGAGCGAGAGAGAGCUUGCUUUCUCGAGCGAGUGGCGAACGGGUGAGUAACGCGUGAGGAACCUGCCUCAAAGAGGGGGACAACAGUUGGAAACGACUGCUAAUACCGCAUAAGUCCACAGCUCGGCAUCGAGCAGAGGGGAAAGGAGCAAUCCGCUUUGAGAUGGCCACGCGUCCGAUUAGCUAGUUGGUGAGGUAACGGCCCACCAAGGCGACGAUCGGUAGCCGGACUGAGAGGUUGAACGGCCACAUUGGGACUGAGACACGGCCCAGACUCCUACGGGAGGCAGCAGUGGGGAAUAUUGCACAAUGGGGGAAACCCUGAUGCAGCGACGCCGCGUGGAGGAAGAAGGUCUUCGGAUUGUAAACUCCUGUUGUUGGGGAAGAUAAUGACGGUACCCAACAAGGAAGUGACGGCUAACUACGUGCCAGCAGCCGCGGUAAAACGUAGGUCACAAGCGUUGUCCGGAAUUACUGGGUGUAAAGGGAGCGCAGGCGGGAAGACAAGUUGGAAGUGAAAUCUAUGGGCUCAACCCAUAAACUGCUUUCAAAACUGUUUUUCUUGAGUAGUGCAGAGGUAGGCGGAAUUCCCGGUGUAGCGGUGGAAUGCGUAGCUAUCGGGAGGAACACCAGUGGCGAAGGCGGCCUACUGGGCACCAACUGACGCUGAGGCUCGAAAGUGUGGGUAGCAAACAGGAUUAGAUACCCUGGUAGUCCACACCGUAAACGAUGAUUACUAGGUGUUGGAGGAUUGACCCCUUCAGUGCCGCAGUUAACACAAUAAGUAAUCCACCUGGGGAGUACGACCGCAAGGUUGAAACUCAAAGGAAUUGACGGGGGCCCGCACAAGCAGUGGAGUAUGUGGUUUAAUUCGACGCAACGCGAAGAACCUUACCAAGUCUUGACAUCCCUUGACAGGCAUAGAAAUAUGUUUUCUCUUCGGAGCAAGGAGACAGGUGGUGCAUGGUUGUCGUCAGCUCGUGUCGUGAGAUGUUGGGUUAAGUCCCGCAACGAGCGCAACCCUUAUGGUCAGUUACUACGCAAGAGGACUCUGGCCAGACUGCCGUUGACAAAACGGAGGAAGGUGGGGAUGACGUCAAAUCAUCAUGCCCUUUAUGACUUGGGCUACACACGUACUACAAUGGCGUUAAACAAAGAGAAGCAAGACCGCGAGGUGGAGCAAAACUCAGAAACAACGUCCCAGUUCGGACUGCAGGCUGCAACUCGCCUGCACGAAGUCGGAAUUGCUAGUAAUCGUGGAUCAGCAUGCCACGGUGAAUACGUUCCCGGGCCUUGCACUCACCGCCCGUCA
rnacentral:rRNA from 1 species